AAACAUCGAUAUUUUCGAUAGAUCGAUGUUUUUUUGAGAACGCUAGCUUGGUUACGAUUUAAGAUUUAUUGAAGGUUUUUUGUCCAUUAAAAUGGCCGAAGAAUGGCCAUCCCAAAAGUUUCGCCAAACUAUGAUAGCAAAAAUCAACCAAGCUCUGCAGCCGACGGAUCCUACGAAGAAUGCGGGUGUUAUGGAAAAUCACAUUUU